rnacentral:lncRNA from 1 species
UCAAUCUUACAUUAACCUUAUUAACUAAUACAUUACUAGCACUACUGCUUAUCAUCAUUGCAUUCUGAUUACCACAAUUAAAUAUCUAUACAGAAAAAUCAAGGAUAUACAAAUGCAGAUUUGAUCCAACAGCAUCUGCCCAGCUAUGAUUUGCCAUAAAAUUUUUCUUAGUAGCUAUAGCUUUCUGAUUAUUCAAUCUAGAAAUCCCCUCUAAUUACCAUUACCAUGAGCAUCUCAAAUAAACAACUCAAAACUCAUACUCAUUAUGGCACUAAUUUUAAUCCUUAUCCUAUCCCCAGGCCUAGUUUAUGAAUGGAUGCAAAAAGGACUA